ACAAUGGAGAGUUUGAUCCUGGCUCAGGAUGAACGCUGGCGGCGUGCCUAAUACAUGCAAGUCGGACGCUUCACAUAUGUGAAGAGUGGCGAACGGGUGAGUA
rnacentral:rRNA from 1 species